rnacentral:tRNA from 1 species
AAGGCUUUAAGUUAAACAAACUAUUAACCUUCAAAGUUGAAAAAAUAAUUAUUAUUAUAAACCUUA